CUUGGCGUAGAGGGCUGAAAACUGACUCAUAACCUGAAGGUCGCAGGUUCAAAUCCUGCCCCCGCAACCA
rnacentral:tRNA from 1 species